CCUACGGGGUGCUGCAGUGGGGAAUAUUGGACAAUGGGCGAAAGCCUGAUCCAGCCAUGCCGCGUGUGUGAAGAAGGCCUUCGGGUUGUAAAGCACUUUCAGUGGGGAAGAAAGCCUUGGGGCUAAUACCCUCGAGGAAGGACAUCACCCACAGAAGAAGCACCGGCUAACUCCGUGCCAGCAGCCGCGGUAAUACGGAGGGUGCGAGCGUUAAUCGGAAUUACUGGGCGUAAAGCGCGCGUAGGCGGUCUGAUAAGCCGGUUGUGAAAGCCCCGGGCUCAACCUGGGAACGGCAUCCGGAACUGUCAGGCUAGAGUGCAGGAGAGGAAGGUAGAAUUCCCGGUGUAGCGGUGAAAUGCGUAGAGAUCGGGAGGAAUACCGGUGGCGAAGGCGGCCUUCUGGACUGACACUGACGCUGAGGUGCGAAAGCGUGGGUAGCAAACAGGAUUAGAUACCCCAGUAGUC
rnacentral:rRNA from 1 species